AAGGAUCAUUACUGAAUAAACUUGGUGGGUUGUAGCUGGCUCUUUGGAGCAUGUGCACACUCAUCAUAUUUAUCCAUCCACCUGUGCACAAUCUGUAGUCUUGAGGGAAUUGAGAAAGCGGGCUGAUAUCGAUUAGUUCGUGUCAUCAUUCUCUUGAGUCUAUGUGUCUUCAUACACUACAUAGCCUGUCGCAGAAUGUAUUUAAUGGGCCUCUGUGCCUAUAAAAACUUUAUACAACUUUCAGCAACGGAUCUCUUGGCUCUC
rnacentral:misc_RNA from 1 species